rnacentral:rRNA from 1 species
GACGAACGCUGGCGGCGUGCUUAACACAUGCAAGUCGAACGAUGAUGCUCCAGCUUUGUUGGGGUGGAUUAGUGGCGAACGGGUGAGUAACACGUGAGUAACCUGCCCUCUUCUUUGGGAUAACGGUCGGAAACGGCUGCUAAUACUGGAUAUUCACUCAUUGGCGCAUGUUGGUGGGUGGAAAGGUUUUUUCUGGUGGGGGAUGGGCUCGCGGCCUAUCAGCUUGUUGGUGGGGUGAUGGCCUACCAAGGCUUUGACGGGUAACCGGCCUGAGAGGGUGACCGGUCACAUUGGGACUGAGAUACGGCCCAGACUCCUACGGGAGGCAGCAGUGGGGAAUUUUGCACAAUGGGCGCAAGCCUGAUGCAGCGACGCCGCGUGAGGGAUGAAGGCCUUCGGGUUGUAAACCUUUUUCGCUCAUGGUCAAGCCGCAGCUUUGGGUUGUGGUGAGGGUAGUGGGUAAAGAAGCGCCGGCUAACUACGUGCCAGCAGCCGCGGUGAUACGUAGGGCGCGAGCGUUGUCCGGAAUUAUUGGGCGUAAAGGGCUUGUAGGCGGUUGGCCGCGUCUGCCGUGAAAUCCUCUGGCUUAACUGGGGGCGUGCGGUGGGUACGGGUUGACUUGAGUGCGGUAGGGGAGACUGGAAUUCCUGGUGUAGCGGUGGAAUGCGCAGAUAUCAGGAGGAACACCGGUGGCGAAGGCGGGUCUCUGGGCCGUUACUGACGCUGAGGAGCGAAAGCGUGGGGAGCGAACAGG